rnacentral:rRNA from 1 species
UACGUAGGGUGCGAGCGUUGUCCGGAAUUAUUGGGCGUAAAGGGCUCGUAGGCGGUUUGUCGCGUCGGGAGUGAAAACGCCGUGCUUAACACGGCGCUUGCUUUCGAUACGGGCAGACUAGAGGUAUGCAGGGGAGAACGGAAUUCCUGGUGUAGCGGUGAAAUGCGCAGAUAUCGGGAGGAACACCAGUGGCGAAGGCGGUUGCCUGGAGCUUUGCUGACGCUGAGGCGCGAAAGCGUGGGGAGCGAUCCGG